CCUACGGGCGACAGCAGUGGGGGAUAUUGGACAAUGGGGGGAACCCUGAUCCAGCGACGCCGCGUGAGUGAAGAAGUAUUUCGGUAUGUAAAGCUCUGUCAGCAGGGAAGAAAGAAAUGACGGUACCUGACCAAGAAGCCCCGGCUAACUACGUGCCAGCAGCCGCGGUAAGACGUAGGGGGCAAGCGUUAUCCGGAAUUACUGGGUGUAAAGGGGGCGUAGACGGUUAAGUAAGUCUGGAGUGAAAGGCCGGGGCCCAACCCCGGGACUGCUCUGGAAACUAUUGAACUUGAGUGCAGGAGAGGUAAGCGGAAUUCCUAGUGUAGCGGUGAAAUGCGUAGAUAUUAGGAGGAACACCAGUGGCGAAGGCGGCUUACUGGACUGUAACUGACGUUGAGGCUCGAAAGCGUGGGGAGCAAACAGGAUUAGAUACCCGGGUAGUC
rnacentral:rRNA from 1 species